rnacentral:tRNA from 1 species
UGAUAAUUAGUUUAAACAAAAACAAAUGAUUUCGACUCAUUAGAUUAUGGGUUAACCAUAAUUAUCAA